rnacentral:tRNA from 1 species
GCCCUCUUGGCGGAAUAGGUAGACGCAAGGGACUUAAAAUCCCUUGUCCGUAAGGACGUCCCGGUUCGAGUCCGGGAGUGGGCACCA